AUGGAGGAAAUCCGUUUGGCUCAGAUGAUGGUCUGCAUUCCCUUCCAAAGGUCUCUGCUUCGCUGGGGAAAUCUGGCUUGGGUGCUGGCCCAGAAGAUGCAUGCCUGGAGAAUGUCAGAACCAGGGCUGACUGGUGAUUUGGCUGGUGUGGCCAGGACUUUCAGAGAUUCGACAGAACUAGUAGGGUUAAGGAAGGAAUUCAGGUGAGUGUCAAAAACCCAGUAAGAUGUGGUCCCUACCAAAGGUGAUCUUAGCCAAGGGGAUCUGGUUGGGGGCAGUGAUGGGUAAAGCACAGUGUCUGGGACAUCAAGAGCUGGGAAAUGGAGCUUGUGACAACGAGGAGGAGUUCUAGGAAGGAUUCCAGUCCCAGAAGAAGUGAAGGAGGUAAGGAAGGAAGGAAGGCACUCUGGCACAGGGGAGCUCAACAAGUACUUUCCAUUUUCUAACUGGAAGCCAGCAUGAUUCCAGAACUGGAGAAUCAGAGGUAUGUGGGGACUUAAAGAUUUUUGGAUAUUUGGGUGGAAGAGAUGACAGUCAAUAUGUUCAUACCUCUUUUUUUGAGAAAUAAGCAGACAUAAUUAGAGUGUAUGGAUGCAGCAAGGGAUUCUUAAUUCUCAAAUAAUCUGGGGCCAUAACUUCAUAAUCUACUUGGAGAAUUCAUUGAAAAUGAAUGGUUUGUCAUUUGAUGGUUUAUUAUUUAAAUGAAAUUAACAAGUUAAAAAAGAAGCUUUCACUCUCUUUAUCACCCUAAUUUUAGAAGAGGUUUGUAAUUACAGAUACAAUGCAGUUUGUUUUAGCUAGCGCUAUUGCCUUUAAAUACCAGACUGUGAUUCAUUUGACUUAAUAAAGUUCAGGGGAAAGAAAUCUAAGUUUUCAUUACCAAUUUCCUUCAGUCUAUAAAAGGAAAGCCAGCAUCUCAUUACAAACUUUGUAUUUAUGGGAAAGGACUUAGCUUGUGGCUAGUUAUCACUGGCAUGAGACGGCACCAUUUGUAUUGUCUUGAAGCAAAAAUUCAGGACACUACCUCUAAAAUUCAAUUCACUGCAGUAAUUGCUGCAUUUGCAAAUUUACCAGGCAGUUUCAUGUGAAAUAUAUCAAUAAACUUUGUAGGUUUUGGCAGUAAAUAAAACAUAUAUUGAGAUGUCAUGGGGGUUAAUAAGAAAAUUUUCAGCUUGCGUAGGAAAAAAAAACAGAUGAUAAGAUGGUGUUAUUUGGGCAGAUAACCCAGUAAAGCCAUAAGUGGGUCAGAACAACCUUUCACAUGUGUUUUAGAAAAUAAUCAUGAAAGCAGAAAGAGCAUAUUUUUAGAAUGGUAAAGUGAUUACAUGUAUGUGUCAUUUAACUAGUCACAGUUGAUUAUUACGUUCAAAGAUACCAUCCCUCUGUGCUUCCUAUGGGCAAGAAAAGAAAUUAAACAUCUUUCAGCUUAAAAGAAAUCCCUUCAAUUUAAGAAAGUCAAUUCUGUUUCAAAUGAAGAUACCUUUUAAAUAAUUUUUCUCUUCUACCACCAUUUGCAGGGGUAGGUGGUGGCUCUGAAAGGAUUCAGAGAUGAUCAAGGCACAAGAAAUCAAAGUAGUAGGAUACAAGUGAGUGCUUUCUCCUGUUCACAAUAGCAAAGACUUGGAACCAAACCAAAUUCCCAUCAAUGAUAGACCGGAUAUAAAGAAAAUGUGGCACAUAUACACUAUGGAAUACUAUGCACCCAUAAAAAAUGAUGAGUUCAUGUCUUUUGCCGGGACAUGGAUGAAGCUGGAAACCAUCAUUCUCAGCAAACUAACACAAGAACAGAAAACAAAAAACCACAUGUUGUCUCUCAUAAGUAGGAGCUGAACAGUGAGAACACAUGGACACAGGGAGGGGAACAUCACACACCAGGGCCUGUCAGUGGGUGGAGGGGAUAGGGGAGGGAUAGCAUUAGGAGAAAUACCUAAAGUAGAUGAUAGGGUGAUGGAUGCAGCAAACCACCAUGGCAUGUGUAUACCUAUGUAAUAAACCUGCACAUUCUGCACAUGUACUUUCUCAUCCAUGCCAUUGGGCCCGUGUAAUUUCCCCCUCCUAAACCUGCCAUUGCCAGGACAGACCAGUCCCUGCCCUGAGGACUCCACUGGCAGCACAGGUACAGCCCACCAGACUCAAAGGGGAAUUUUAUUUCAGAUUCCUCCUCUUAAUCCUUUAACACUUUUUUGAUGUUCUUAUAUAUUAUUGUUUCGAUAAUUUUAAUACCAACAGUGGUUGUCAAUAGCAUUGAUUUUGUACCUCAAUAGAGAAAAUUUGGCAAAUCUUAAUUCCUAAUUUUUCCUAGGAAGAAAUGAAGAAAAAGAUCUCAGUGAAAACAAAUUUCUGAUAAUUAAAUCUCAUUACAAGCUAAUCAGAAAGUGAGGUAGAGAAAUAUUAUAAAAAUUUUCUGGCCAGGCAUAGUGGCUCACACCUGUAAUCCCAGCACUUUGGGAGGUGGAGAGAGGGGGUGGAGGGGGGAUCACUUGAGGUCAGGACUUUGAGACCAGCCAGUGAAACCCUGUCUCUACUGAAAAUACAACAACAAAAAAAUUUGCCAGGGUGGUGGUGGGCACCUGUAAUCCCAUCUACUUGGGAGGCUAAGACAAGAAAAUCACUUGAACCUGGGAGGCGGAGGUUGCAGUGAACCAAGAUUGCGCCACUGCAUUCCAGCCUGGGUCACAGAGUAAGACUCCCUGUCCCCACCCACCCACCCCCACCCCCACCCCCACCCCCAAAUAUAUUUUCAACAUUGAAAAUGUCACAAAGGAGUAUAUUUUAGAUCAGGUCUGAUGUAUUUUGAGGUUUAAUGCGGGUAGCACUUUUUUGAUGUUCUUAUAUAUUAUUGUUUCGAUAAUUUUAAUACCAACAGUGGUUGUAACAGCCAAAUCCUGAGAAGUUUUCAAAUUUGAGCUCUCACAUACAGUGUAAGACUUAAUAGCUGUCAUCAAGUAAUGUUUGGGUCACACAAAACAUUGCAAUUUCUGUUAUGCUUAUUGGUUUAAACAAAGAAAACAAAAAUUAAUAUGAAGAUUUGUAUUAUUUGUAAAAGGAAAUCUCAAAGAUACUUUAAAAUGAAGAGUCCCCAGUCAUCACAAGAAUUAAAUGCUCUUUUAAUCUUGUUGAUUUGUUUCAGUAUAUGAUUAAGUUGCGUAUUUUAGACUUCAAUUGCAGACACAAAAAUCACCUCCCUAAAUAAUCAGCUAGAAGAAAACAGUUCCAGCAGACCCUGGAUUAAAGGAAUGCAGAAACACAAUGGGAGCAUAUUACUAGAAAACGAUUAUUUAUUUAAUGCUAGCUCAGAAUUCAUCAGUAAGGGACCAUUUUCUGGAUCAAGAUUUUAAUUUUUGAAUAAAAAGCUUCAUGGUAUAAUACCUUUUAGACUCUCUUCUUUAAGCUCCAGGAAGUCAGGGCACAUGAUUUUUAAACAAAGCUUUUGCUCUCUGCCAUUAAUCCUUCCUGAGUAAGCAAAUAAGUAAUCCUUUUAAUCGCUAGUGCUGAUACUACCCCAUUGGUGAAUCAUCAGAUAGUCCCCUGCCGACUGCAGGAGAAUAAUUUCCACAGCCAGGGAGAAGUGCAGGAUAAACAUCUCCAUAUAGGAUGUCAUGGCUGAAUUAAAAAGCACUGCAGUAGGAGCAGAGAUGGAUUAUUAUUUUAUUGCAUUAUAAUCCAUGGCAUCAUUAACUUGGAAGGCAUGUCAUAUAGUCAUAUCCUUCCGUCAAGCUGCCGUUGUGUGCAGAUAACUGGCACCCAUUUAUACGGGAUAGAUGAGAGUGGAGAAAGAAUGUAUCUGAAUGCAACUUUUAAGCAUGAAAUACUGUGCCUGACAUGGAGCUUUGUCAUAUU
rnacentral:lncRNA from 1 species